UGUUAAAAAUUUUAUCUAUUUUUACUAUUAAAAAUUAGAAUGGUUGAUAGAAUAAUUAGACAGAUAUACGUGACCUACUAUUGGUAUCUCAUUCUAACAUAUGGAGACCAAUUUGUAAUAGUAAUAGAUGAAAAUUUUUAAAA
rfam:Gossypium arboreum cultivar AKA8401 contig_2264_3, whole genome shotgun sequence.